CACAGGCAUGCUGACCAAGCUGAACCAGGAAAGUUCACAGUCCACCGGAGCUCCCGUACCUACCACCACUCCCACUCCGGGCGAGAAGAGCCCAAGAGUCAGGCAUGGACACGGCCGCCUUGCUCCCGGUGGCGCUGGCCCUCAUGGCCAUCCCCGUCACGGCGCUCCUCCUCAGCCGGCUCCGCUUCGGCAGGCUGCCACCGGGGCCGCGCCCGUGGCCGGUGCUGGGCAACCUCUUCCAAAUCCAGCCCGUGCGCUGCCGGUGCUUCGCCGAGUGGGCGGCGCGGUACGGGCCCAUCAUGACGGUCUGGUUCGGCUCGACGCCGAUGGUGGUGGUGUCCACGCCGGAGCUGGCGCAGGAGGUGCUCAGGACCCACGACCAGCACCUGGCCGACCGCUCCCGGAACCGCUCCUCCGAGCGCUUCAGCCGCGGCGGCAUGGACCUCAUCUGGGCCGACUACGGCCCGCACUACAUCAAGGUGCGCAAGCUCUGUAACCUCGAGCUCUUCACGCCCCGCCGCCUCGAGGCGCUCCGCCCCGUCCGCGAGGACGAGGUCACCGCCAUGGUCGAGUCCGUGCACGCGGCCGGCAAGGGAGGCAGGCCCGUGGCGGUGCGGGAGUUCCUCGCUAUGGUCGGCUUCAACAACAUCACGCGGCUCGCCUUCGGGAAGCGGUUCCUGACCGCGGCCGGCGAGCUGGACGAGCAAGGGCGCGAGUUCAAGGAGAUCGUCAACAACGGCAUCAAGAUCGGCGCGUCGCUGUCCAUCGCCGAGCACAUCCGGUGGCUCCGGUGGCUCACGCCCGUCGACGAGGUGGCCUAUCAAGCCCACGGCGACCGGCGCGAUCGGCUCACCGUCAAGAUCAUGGAGGAGCACGCCAGCGCCCUCGAGCGGAGCGGCGCCAGCAAGCAGCAUUUCGUCGACGCGCUCUUCACGCUCCGGGACAAGUACGACCUCAGCGACGACACCGUCAUUGGCCUCCUCUGGGUGGGUAAUCAAUCAAUUGAAUUGAAUUAAUGCCGCCAUUCCAUAUUAGUAGUAAUCACUAGACCGACGUGAUAACCACUACACCAAAGCAAACCUUUUCUAUUCCGUAUUAUUGUCGCGAUUUGAUUUGAUUGAUUCGAUCAUUCAUAUGUGUGUGCACGCGAUCGAGCAGGACAUGAUCACCGCCGGCACGGACACGACGGUGAUAACCGUGGAGUGGGCGGUAGCGGAGCUGGUGAGGAACCCGACGGUGCAGCACAAGGUGCAGGAGGAGCUGGACCGGGUGGUCGGCCGCGACCGGGUGCUGUCGGAGACGGACUUCCCCAACCUGCCCUACCUGCAGGCCAUCGUCAAGGAGUCGCUCCGGCUGCACCCGCCGACGCCGCUGAUGCUGCCGCACAGGGCCAGCGCCGCCGUGAAGGUCGCCGGCUACGACAUCCCCAAGGGAGCCAGCGUCACGGUGAACGUGUGGGCGAUCGCGCGCGACCCGGAGGCGUGGGACAGCCCGCUCGAGUUCCGGCCCGAGCGCUUCCUCCACGACAACAUCGACAUCAAGGGGUGCGACUACCGCGUGCUGCCGUUCGGCGCCGGCCGCCGGGUGUGCCCCGGCGCGCAGCUCGGGAUCAACCUCGUGGCGUCCAUGAUCGGCCACCUCCUGCACCACUUCACCUGGGCGCUGCCGGACGGGACCCGGCCGGAGGACAUCGACAUGAUGGAGUCCCCCGGGCUCAUCACCUUCAUGCGCACGCCGCUGCAGGUCGUCGCCACGCCGCGCCUCGAAAAGGAGGAGCUCUACAAGCGGGUGGCCGCCGAGAUGUGAGCGACCUGGGACUCCUGGUGGUUCAGAGUUCAUGCUUCAAAUUAAGUGUUGACGUGUCUUUUUUCGAGUUCUUCGUAGCUACUAUCGGUACCUAUGCAUUUAUUUUGUUGUUAAUCCAUGAAUAUACUCGUGGUACAAUAUGAUUUCUUUUUUGCGAUAGAACUUGUAUUACUCAAUCACCAGGAUUACAAUCAGGGAGACACAAGUUCUCAACGUCCUCAGGACCAGAGCAUAUAGCCAAACAACACUACGAUUGCCAUGUCUCCAGAAAGGUCUUGCCUCUUCUUCUUCUUCCACGCAUUCACCAUCUCCAAACAAUCCACUUCAAGGUGAAUAGGGCCAUCGCACCAAUUCAGGGAUAGAUCCAUACCUUCCCUAGCUGCAAUCAACUCAGCUUCUAGAGCACUCAAACAUCGAUUCAAAUUCUGUCAGGGAAGUCGUGGAAUAUAAGAGAAAGAAGAAGAAGAAGAUGAACAGUGAAGGGAAGUCAUGGAACAGUGUGUGCAACAGAAUGGGAGCUGUAGGAUACACAUAGGUAGGCAGACAUAUAACAAGGAUCUGCGGACGUAUUCAUAUAAAAUAUACAUGUACAUUGUCCC
rnacentral:rRNA from 1 species